rnacentral:rRNA from 1 species
UACGGGGGGUGCGAGCGUUAAUCGGAAUUACUGGGCGUAAAGCGUGCGCAGGCGGUUGUGCAAGACAGGUGUGAAAUCCCCGGGCUUAACCUGGGAACUGCACUUGUGACUGCACGACUGGAGUACGGCAGAGGGGGAUGGAAUUCCGCGUGUAGCAGUGAAAUGCGUAGAUAUGCGGAGGAACACCGAUGGCGAAGGCAGUCCCCUGGGCCUGUACUGACGCUCAUGCACGAAAGCGUGGGGAGCAAACAGG